ACCAGACUCCUACGGGAGGCAGCAGUGGGGAAUAUUGCACAAUGGGGGAAACCCUGAUGCAGCGACGCCGCGUGAGUGAAGAAGUAUUUCGGUAUGUAAAGCUCUCUCAGCAGGGAAGAAAAUGACGGUACCUGACUAAGAAGCCCCGGCUAACUACGUGCCAGCAGCCGCGGUAAUACGUAGGGGGCGAGCGUUAUCCGGAUUUACUGGGUGUAAAGGGAGCGUAGACGGUUAAUCAAGUCUGAAGUGAAAGCCCGCGGCUCAACUGCGGAACGGCUUUGGAAACUGAGUAACUGGAGUGCUGGAGGGGCAGGCGGAAUUCCUGGUGUAGCGGUGAAAUGCGUAGAUAUCAGGAGGAACACCGGUGGCGAAGGCGGCCUGCUGGACAGUAACUGACGUUGAGGCUCGAAAGCGUGGGGAGCAAACAGGAUUAGAUACCCGCGUA
rnacentral:rRNA from 1 species